rnacentral:lncRNA from 1 species
CAGAGGCAGUACGGUAGGUGUCUGCUGGUUGUAUCUGUGAGCCGAGUCCGCAGGGUCCUCACUCAGCUCCAUCUCCCACAGCCCCAGAAGCCCUCACGCCACGGUCAUGUGACUCCGAGCACGACUUCCUCUCCGCCCAGGAGGACUGCAUGUCGCAGGGGGAUGCUGAUUCCCUGUGCACUCCACUGAGCCAGAGGAAAACGCUCGCUGGAUGGGCUCUGCUGGGCAACAUGGAUGUUCAGUCUGAUAUGGUUCUCAAAGCACAGGUACCCACACAGACACAUAGAGCCACACACACUCACAUUCACACACUAACUCCACUGCCUGUUCAUUGUGUCCUGUUGAUGCUGGAGCAGUCUGACACGGAGAGCGUGGACAUGCAGAGCACCUGCUCGCUCCUCGUCCCCAUUGCCCUGUACGACUCCCUGAAGAAGGAGAGUGAGGGGCGACAGGAGCCCGCCUGCAAGGCCCAGGGUGCGGCUGAGACCUCCUGUGGGAAAGAGGACGAUGGGUGUGUCGACAUCCUGGAGCAGGAGCAAGGCGAAGGUACAGGGGGGGAGGGGCCACUCAAGGAGAGGCUGCAGGAGCUAGAGCAGGAGCUCACUAAGGCCUUGGAGGAGCUCGAAGAACUGAGGGGACGGGCACAAGUCGGAGUCAUGGACAAAGAGGCCCCAGUUGAGGAUGGGAACCAGGAGGUGCAGCAGAGAGGAGAGCACAUGCAGAAGCAGGAGGAGCAGGUGGAGGUGAUGACCACAGGGGAGAAGCCAGAUCAGGAGGGUGCUGGCAGGUCAGAUGCUGAUGCUGAUGGGGUGUGGAGCGAGAAAGCAGAGGAGGUGAUGACAGAGUUAGAGGGAAAUGUGGAGAACAAUCUACUGGCAGAGCAAGAGCAAGGUGGUGAAUGGGAUAGGGACCCUGCACCAAGCCUGAGGGCAGAGGAGAGUAUCCAGCAGGGGGUGCUGCAGGACAGGCUGGUGAGUGUGGAAAUGGAGCUGGAACCCUCUACUCCGGGGCUGCAGUUGGAACAGCUGGCCCAAGAGCGGGCGGAGGUGGCCGCGCGCCUCGCUGAGGCUCUCCGGGAGCUGAAGAGGAUGCGGCCUCUACCUGAGCUGAGUGGAGAGGAGGAGGAAGAAGACACUCAUCUCUGCUUCAGAUUAGGUACUACUUCAGAAUGUCAUUUUCCUCUAU